UCGAGUUUUCUGAACAAGUAAAGCAAAUAAAUGAUGUGGAGACCUCUGAACAGGAAACACGUGAUGAUGUCACACCAGAAGAGACACCUUCAUCAGAGAUCAGAGAAGGUGAAAUGAAAC